rnacentral:rRNA from 1 species
GACAGAGGGUGCAAACGUUGCUCGGAAUUACUGGGCGUAAAGGGUGCGCAGGCGGUUCUGCAAGUCAGGCGUGAAAUCCCCGGGCUUAACCUGGGAAUGGCGCUUGAAACUACGGGACUGGAGUAUGGCAGAGGGAGGUGGAAUUCCACGUGUAGCGGUGAAAUGCGUAGAGAUGUGGAGGAACACCGAUGGCGAAGGCAGCCUCCUGGGCCAAUACUGACGCUGAUGCGCGAAAGCCAGGGGAGCAAACGGG